rnacentral:rRNA from 1 species
GACGAGCGCUGGCGGCGUGCUUAACACAUGCAAGUCGAACGGAAAGGCCCUGCUUUUGUGGGGUGCUCGAGUGGCGAACGGGUGAGUAACACGUGAGUAACCUGCCCUUGACUUUGGGAUAACUUCAGGAAACUGGGACUAAUACCGGAUAGGAGCUCCUGCUGCAUGGUGGGGGUUGGAAAGUUUCGGCGGUUGGGGAUGGACUCGCGGCUUAUCAGCUUGUUGGUGGGGUAGUGGCUUACCAAGGCUUUGACGGGUAGCCGGCCUGAGAGGGUGACCGGCCACAAUGGGACUGAGAUACGGCCCAGACUCCUACGGGAGGCAGCAGUGGGGAAUAUUGCACAAUGGGCGGAAGCCUGAUGCAGCAACGCCGCGUGCGGGAUGACGGCCUUCGGGUUGUAAACCGCUUUCGCCUGUGACGAAGCGUGAGUGACGGUAAUGGGUAAAGAAGCACCGGCUAACUACGUG